rnacentral:rRNA from 1 species
AUUGAACGCUGGCGGCAUGCCUUACACAUGCAAGUCGAACGGCAGCACGGGAGCAAUCCUGGUGGCGAGUGGCGAACGGGUGAGUAAUAUAUCGGAACGUGCCCAGUCGUGGGGGAUAACGCAGCGAAAGCUGUGCUAAUACCGCAUACGAUCUAAGGAUGAAAGCGGGGGAUCGCAAGACCUCGCGCGAUUGGAGCGGCCGAUAUCAGAUUAGCUAGUUGGUGGGGUAAAGGCCCACCAAGGCGACGAUCUGUAGCUGGUCUGAGAGGACGACCAGCGACACGGGAACUGAGACACGGUCCAGACUCCGACGGGAGGCAGCAGUGGGGAAUUUUGGACAAUGGGCGCAAGCCUGAUCCAGCAAUGCCGCGUGCAGGAUGAAGGCCUUCGGUUUGUAAACUGCUUUUGUACGGAACGAAACGGCCCUUUCUAAUACAGGGGGCUAAUGACGGUACCGUAAGAAUAGGCACCGGCUAACUACGUGCCAGCAGCCGCCGUAAGAC